rnacentral:rRNA from 1 species
GAUGAACGCUGACAGAAUGCUUAACACAUGCAAGUCUUUGGCGAAGCUGUGCUUGCACAGCCUAGCCAAGGCGGACGGGUGAGUAACGCGUAAGGAACUUGCCCUGCAGUCAGGGAUAACAGACGGAAACGACUGAUAAGACCUGGUAAAGUCAGGCGGACUCAUGUCCAGCCUGAUGAAAAGUGAUGCUGCAGGAGAGCCUUGCGUCCUAUUAGCUUGUUGGUGGGGUAACGGCCCACCAAGGCGAUGAUAGGUAGCCGGCCUGAGAGGGUGGACGGCCACAAGGGGACUGAGAUACGGCCCUUACUCCUACGGGAGGCAGCAGUGGGGAAUAUUGGACAAUGGGGGCAACCCUGAUCCAGAAAUUCUGUGUGCACGAUGAAGGUUUUCGGAUUGUAAAGUGCUUUCAGCAGGGAAGAAAAAAAUGACGGUACCUGCAGAAGAAGCGACGGCUAAAUACGUG